rnacentral:rRNA from 1 species
GCAGGCAAGUCGAACGCAGUAGCAAUACUGACCCGGCAAACGGGUGAGUAUAAUGUGGGAAUCUGCCUUUUGGUUUGGAAUAACACGGGGAAACUUGUGCUAAUACCAAAUAAGCCCUUACGGGGAAAGUUUUAACGCCGAAAGAUGAGCCUGCACUUGAUUAGCUAGUUGGUAAGGUAAAGGCUUACCAAGGCAACGAUCAAUAGCUGUUCUUAGAGGAAGACCAGCCACAUUGGGACUGAGACACGGCCCAGACUCCUACGGGAGGCAGCAGUGGGGAAUCUUGCACAAUGGGGGAAACCCUGAUGCAGCGAUGCCGCGUGAGUGAAGAAGGCCUUUGGGUUGUAAAACUCUUUCGUCGGGGAAGAAAAUGACUGUACCCGAAUAAGAAGGUCCGGCUAACUUCGUGCCAGCAGCCGCGGUAAUACGAGGGGACCUAGCGUAGUUCGGAAUUACUGGGCUUAAAGAGCUCGUAGGUGGUUAAAAAAGUUGAUGGUGAAAUCCCAAGGCUCAACCUUGGAACUGCCAUCAAAACUUUUUAGCUAGAGUGUGAUAGAGGUAAGUGGAAUUUUCUAGUGUAGAGGUGAAAUUCGUAGAUAUUAGAAAGAACACCAAAUGCGAAAGGCAACUUACUGGGUCACUACUGACACUGAGGAGCGAAAGCAUGGGUAGCGAAGAGGAUUAGAUUACCCUCGUAGUCCCAUGCCGUAAACGAUGU